AUAGCGUUCUAGAAAAAAAAGAAAAAAAAGGUAGCCGCACAACACAAACAAAAGGGGAGAGCAAUAGAAAGUAGCCGCCGGAAAGAGAGAAAAUCAGGGAGGAAAGAACAAAAACAGAGGAAAAAAGAAAAAGAAGAAAAAACAGAGAGAGGGUAAAGGAGGAGAAAUCGAGAGAGGGCUUUGUGUGAGGGAGAAAGGUGCCGCACAAAACAUGAACGGAAAGCUAGAUCGGAAGGAGUAAGAUCGGGAAAGGCUGCAGUCAGGCACAGAAGAGAAGAAGAGAAGCAGAAUCGGGAAAGACCAAACACCAUUAUGAAAAAAAAAAAAAAAACAACAAUUUUCAAGCUUCAUACUACAAGGUCAUGGGACUUCAUGGGUUUCACCCCAAGGCAAGCUGCCAAAGCCGCAACAAGGAAAGGUCAUCAUUGGAGUUCUUGACAUAGGUCAUUACAAUGAACACUGGAUUAAGUUCUGCUAAUGGAAAGGAAGAUGCGUAGGGGCCAGUUUUACCUGUAUCAAGUAAGAGCUAGCUCUUUCUUCCCCUCAUAAAUAGCAAUCACAAGGGGACAUCUUUCUUACUAGACUAAAGAGAGAAGAAAAAACGGUACCCUUUAGUUUAUGUAAUUCUUCAUGUUAAUUUCUUGUCAUUAUAUAUGUAUGGAGUAUGACCGUUGGAGAAGGUGUUGGCGGUCUUUCCAUGAGAUGAAAUAUGACAUUUUGACCAUUAAAUACUUCGUGUCA